UGUGGCGCCUGGCUGCUGCACCCCUUUUCUUUCACUUUCGGCUCUUUGCUUCAGCAAAUGAGGAACCAGAUGUUUCCAGUUCCCUCUGAUGGAGAGACACUGCCACAGUUGUGAGCAGGCAGCUGGACUGUCAGGCUAAACCUGUUUCAAGUAUAAACUGGGCAGUAGUGAGGAGGGAAGGGGUGGCUGUGAGCCAUCUGUCCUCAGCAGCACAUGUACAGGGUCCCAGUCACCUUCUACCCUUGCUGUGUCUUUAAUUCCCAGCUCAAUACCUGGGGCACAGCUACACCAACACCUCCAAAAUCCAGCACUGUGAACUGCCCUUGCCAUGCUGUGAACCCUGCCUGCAAGCAAUGCAAAUAUUUUGAAUUGGAUUCCUGUGGCCUUUUCCCUGGCUGACACACAAGUCUUAAUGGUUCCCAAAAGAACACCAUGAUCAUCACAUACUUUGAAAUUGCUCCUUAAGGCUUAACUGAACUUCGUUUGUGGGGAAAAAUAACACCUCAUGGUAAAUGAGUCCUUGAAUCUGGAUACAACAAAAUUUGGGACCGACCACACCUUGGACUGGGUCUGUUCAAUACGAGCUAAAGGCCACACGCCCAGGUAUGUCUCGACACGCUGCUGACCCCUGCUCGCCCUGAAAGCAGCAAUGUGUGUGUUGUU